rnacentral:rRNA from 1 species
UACGUAGGGUGCGAGCGUUGUCCGGAAUUAUUGGGCGUAAAGAGCUCGUAGGCGGUCUGUCGCGUCGAAUGUGAAAACCCGGGGCUCAACUCCGGGCUUGCAUUCGAUACGGGCAGGCUAGAGUUCGGUAGGGGAGUCUGGAAUUCCUGGUGUAGCGGUGAAAUGCGCAGAUAUCAGGAGGAACACCGGUGGCGAAGGCGGUUCUCUGGGCAUGUCCUGACGCUGAGGAGCGAAAGUGUGGGGAGCGAACAGG